CCCUUCUCAGGAUCGCACCUGGAGAGUUUCCAGUACUCUACCAGUCUCAGUUACAGGAGGGAGAGUCAAGCAGAGACAUACCCAUUCCAUUCCUAACUUGGACAGUGGCUAGUGAGUAGAAGGCAAUCUCCUGCAGGA
rnacentral:snoRNA from 1 species